UACGAAGGGGGCUAGCGUUGCUCGGAAUUACUGGGCGUAGAGCGCACGUAGGCGGCUUUCUAAGUCGGGGGUGAAAUCCUGGAGCUCAACUCCAGAACUGCCUUCGAUACUGGAAAGCUCGAGUCCGGGAGAGGUGAGUGGAACUGCGAGUGUAGAGGUGAAAUUCGUAGAUAUUCGCAAGAACACCAGUGGCGAAGGCGGCUCACUGGCCCGGUACUGACGCUGAGGUGCGAAAGCGUGGGGAGCAAACAGG
rnacentral:rRNA from 1 species